rnacentral:lncRNA from 1 species
AUGCGUUUUUGCGUUUUCAGGGUGAUUUUGCUGGUAUCUGUAAUCGGAUUCUCCGGAGGACAACGGAGGUACAGAAAAAUCAACGACAUGCACAAGGCGGGUGAACUGGAACCAGGUGACGUCCUCCGUAGCAACGUCAGGGGGAACUACAAUCUCAUCGGCUACAAGGACUGGCUGUACAAAAUGCCCGCCGCGGUGAACAAAUUCGCGUACGACGUCAAAUGGGACUCCUUCAAGCUCCCUUUGCGCGUAGGAGACGACAAUCUCUGGGUCGCGAAAAUCGGCAGAGCCAAGGAUGCAGGAAGGAGCAUAGCGCUGGCGCGGAGGCUCAGCGAUCAUUACGUGCCGUACCACCUCAUUCGCUGCACUAAGAAAAUGUACUGGAGGUACAUCCUCUGGGGAGAGCUACUCUCGGAAAGGUUGGUGCCACUGCUCGUCAUGCGCUCGUGCCCGCUAGCGGAGCCUUUGGAAGGGGUGACCGCUGAAGACGUCGCCACGGGGCGAUUCAUGUUCAGGGAUUUCCAAGGUCGGAAUGAGACCGAAUCGCAUGCGAUCUCGGAUGUGCCCGCCAGCAGGACUAGGUUCUUCAAGGCGGGUCAUCAUUUGUGGGCGCUCGGGCGCGAGGGCCGGCCCAAUCGGCUUCCACGCGAGUUGAGACGGAAGAAGAGGCACUCCAUGUCGGACACACAUACGUCCGCGUCCUUCGAGUCUGCUGAUGCUGUGUCUUUCGACGCUCCGAGUGAAGGGAGUUCGACGUCAAUGAAGUCCAGGUCCACGUCACGUGACGCGACGGAGAAGACUCCGAAACUAUCCAAACAGCUCUACCUGUCACUGUCGAUAAGAAAAUUUGGAGAGGAACUUCGGGAUAAAUUCAAAAGUAGACCCGGGAGUGGAAGCGAAAGUCGGGGUGAUGAAAACUCGAAUGGGUCACCAGGCAAGGUCUGAACCGGGAAUAAACGUCAACUGGACUUCAUUUUCCAGUUAUAGCAACUGUAAUUCCUGGAUCGUCCGUGAUAGCACUUAUCUGCGUAUGGAAACUAAUGGCACAUACGUUGUUUCUAAAAUGAACUGAAAAUUGUAGUUCCUCGUUGCAGAAUGUAGCCCGAUUGUUUUCUCUUCAAAAUUUUACGGGUAAAACGAUUCAUCGGGAAGUUCGGUGAUCACCCUUUGAACGAGAUAAUAACAAAUAUUUUUAACAGAGAUUAUUUGGAAUUAAAGUCUACAAUCAUUUGUAUUUUUGCCAUGUAAGCGAUGUUAUAAUUGUCAACACUUGUAUCUUGCAUAGGGAUUGACUUUCAGACCUCUCGUUGUGUGAUUCGUUUUCCUCAUGCGACUUUGGAGAGUGUACAUGCUGUAUGAUGUUUUAAUUGGAACUAAAAUCUGAACUCAAUAUUAAUACAAAAUACGUGCCACCAGUAUUCCCCUAUGUAGAUAGGUGUUUUAUACAUGAGCUAGAACAGUAGCGAGGCGUGCUUUGCGAUACAUCGAUUGUCAUACCAUUUAAACCUAUGGAAAAGGAUCGAUAAACAGGGUGUUCGAAGCAAACACCUUAAUAAUCGAUUCUUUACCAUAGGCUUAAAUGACAAAACAAUCGAUACAUCGCAGUUCACGCCACGCCUUUGAGCCAGAAAUUGUAGUUCCAAACCGCUAAAUGCAGUCCAUUUCAUAACUUGUCUUGUCUUGAGGCCCACUCUAAACUAACUACAACGAGAUAAGUAAAAUGUGUGAUUCCUGUAGGUGCAGACUAAACUCUUAUGUAUGUACGCAUGCGUGUGUGUGUGGAGAGGGGGGGUGUCCACCAAACAGAAGUAUGCCACUUCGAGAUGAAACAAAAAUUAGGCCCAUUUAGCGGAUGAGGCUCCGUUUUUUUAAAUUCCUCACUUUCACACCGUUAUAAUAUAAAUUUACUCCACCGACAAACACAUAUUUUAUCGUUCAUUGAUGGCUUGUUCGAAAAUUAUUUUACACACACACACACACACACACACACACACAAAAAAAAAAAAAAAAAAAAAAAAAAAAAAAAAAAAAAAAAAAAAAAAAAAAAAAAAAAAACGAUUAUACACUCAAGGAGAACAGUAAUGAAACAGCAGAAUAGGGCGCAGAAACACACAAUUUUGAUGGCAAAUCGUCACUCCUCUGGGCGUAUGAUCGCACAUCUCGAUUUCCGUAGGAGCCCCAGGAAUAAUGAAGUUAUCGAUGGUGUAAGUCGGCAAUCACAUAACUCGUUUGCGGUGUCUGAAAACCUCCGCCUCUAUGUUAUCUUUUCAAAGGAGAACGAAUUGACAUCAUUCCUUGAAGUUUAUGCAGAAUUCUCUUCGCACAGAGAAGAAAAAUCACGGCAGUUUUAAAGAAUUGCCGCUGAUUGUGAGUAGAUUUCCGUUUAAUAAAUAAAGCGUGACAGGAGGUCUGCGACGUCACAAACCGAGUUAUGCGAUUGCCGACUUACACCAUCGUUAGACGCAAAAAAAGCUCACGUGGAAAUUGAGAUUAGCCUGUGCCACACUAUCAAAAUCUAACUACUAACAACUAACAAGUCGCUCUUACAUCGCUUCUGCGCGCUCUGCGACACCCAACCGCCACUGAUAGCGAUCCUGCCAGAGCUCCUCCGGCAGAUCGCAUCUCCUCAUUUCCUGCCUUAUUCCCUCAAUCCACGAUUUGGCAGGGCGUCCUCUACGCUUUCUGUCAGGGGGGACCCAAUCCAGAACCUUCAAAAUACUCCAUCAAAUUGUCAAGGUCAAGUGCUGUGAUUGGCCCGAGUCAGCGAAUAAGCCAAUCACAACACCUGACCUUGAUAUUUCGAUGGCUAGCUUUGACAGUGUGACACGGGCUUUGUGCCUUUACAUUAGAGGGGCGACGAAAUGUGACGUCACUGCUACGCUUUUUGAUGAUUAUGCCCAUAUCCGACCACAAUGACUUCGAGGGAGUUCCUCACGGCGCGGCGUUAAGCGCGUUACGGCAACAAUUAAAAAGGAUAAUGUGCAUUAUUCAUCUGAUUAGUCUUUCAAGUGACGGCGACGUACUUUUCCCGAAACCAGCUUUAAGAACUGAAACCUGCGACGGGAAAAACUUCCAUCUUCGUUAUCUCGAUGAAAAAGAAGAGCAAAAGGAAAGGAAGAAACACUCCGUUCGCCAGAGCUCUCUAAUUUGAUAGUCUGCGGUGCUUCGCAGUAAGGGACUGGAACAGAUGGAUGAAGUAGAGUAAAAAUGAAACCAUUCAUUGUAAUCAUUCAGAUCGCUGUAGAUUUAGAUCUAAGGACGACAGUGCGAUCAUUGGAGGCUUUUUUCAUUAGCGGGUAAUUAAUAAAUUAAUCAAAUGUCUUUUGAUUCGAUUAAUUUAUUGAGUUUUAAAACUUCGACUCUCUCUUUCUAUCUACAUCGCUGCGACAGGAUUGCGUGCAUUUUUCUCUCAGAGAAGACAGAAAUAUUUAGCAAAUAUUUAAACAGUAUUGCUUUGAUAUCUAUGCAAACAUUGGGCCAAUAUUGGUUAAAUAUUGAGCCAAUGUUAAAAGUGUACACCAUAUUUCCUUUUGGCAUAAAUACUGUGCAAAUACUUUAAAAUACUGUGAAAUACUGUGUCAAUUCUGUGAAAAUAUUUUUAUAAUAUUUUGGGUAAACAUAUUAUUUUUAAAAAUAGCAAAUAAAGACUCUUUAAACAUUUUUUAAAAAAAUAAUUUUGAUUAAAAUAUUAACAAAAUAUUGUCAGUAUUGUGUAAAUAUUGCGACAAUACUGGCAAUAUUGUAAAAAUAUUAUGUUUUAUCUGGACUGGUACUGAAAGCUCACAUGUUCGCGCGAAUGCUGAAUAUUCAACGAGGAAGCGUUGAUCUGGCAACCUUGGUAGUUUGUGGUAGAAAACUACUUCACAGAAGACUGAUCAUUCCCUCCUCACUUACAGGCAUGUCUUUUUUUGACGGAUAGCCCUCGCAGCGCGAAUGGCCCAGAGCUUUCAUAGACAAUUAAAAAAUGAACUAGGGGCCUGUGGCCGCUACGCGGCCGCCAAUCACCGAAAAAAACUACAUGUAAAAAUCGUAGAACAACCAUGUUCAAGUUUUCUAAGAGAUGAAUGGAUUCAAAACCCGACGGGUGCGCCCGAAGCGUAUAUUUAUCUCUGAUUGCAACAUUAUGCACCUUUAUGCUUUAUUUUUAAUGACUGUUUUUAAAUAGUUACACACAGAUUUUCUGAGAAGUCUCCUUGAAUUUACCUGAACGAUCUCAUAGAAAAGUAUCGAAAAUUUCGACGCGAUAUUUCCGUCUGUUCAAUUUUCUUUUAAUGUCACUUAAAAAAAAAAAAAAAAAAAAAAAAAAAAAAAAAAACAUUAAAUAUCAUAUGGAUGAGGAUACAUAUUUUCUCUUUAAUAAUGGUAAAAACUGGAACAGAAAAUCAAGAAUGAUGACACGCAGUCAUACAGCACUCAAGUCUUAUAGGCGCUAAUAUGCGUUUCAUCACGCCAACUAACGGACUGCCCUGCGUUUGACGCAAUGCGAGAAGUAUCCAUGCAGUCUCGUAGGCGCUUGCAUGGGCUUUACGGCGACCGCACUCUUUGGCGCAAUGCGCGAAGUAUUCCCAAAGUCUUGCAGGCGCUAAUAUACGUUUAACGCCGGCCGUACUGUGAUCGGCUUGAUCAUGCGAACUCGCGUUAGAAUAAUCGCAGCAUCGAAUAAUAAAGUUUAAAAGGCCUAUGUUGAUUUCGACGUCGUAUGAGCAUUCCAAAGUUGCCUCGUUUCUCCUGAUUUAAUAUUUUUUCCUAGGAAAGUUAGGAAAGUCCUUUAUACCCACGACCAUUAUUCAAUCUUUUCACUUCGUGUAUCAUCAGAGGGAAGACAUCGAUGACUUGUUAACGGACUAACCUAAACUAGCGCUAAUAUAAAAAUGCGUUU